CCUACGAGUGGCAGCAGUGGGGAAUAUUGCACAAUGGGGGGAACCCUGAUGCAGCAAUGCCGCGUGGGUGAAGAAGCACUCCGGUGCGUAAAGCCCUGUCAGCAGGGAAGAAAAUGACAGUACCUGGACAAGAAGCCCCGGCUAACUACGUGCCAGGAGCCGCGGCACUACGUAGGGGUCAAGCGUUAUUCGGAUUUACUGGGCGUCAGGGGAGCGCAGGCGGCGUGGCAAGUCAGAUGUUAAAACCCGGGGCCCAACCCCGGGAGUGCAUUUGAAACUGCCAUGCUGGAGUGCCGGAGAGGUAAGCGGAAUUCCUAGUGUAGCGGUGAAAGGCGUAGAUAGUAGGAGGAACACCAGUGGCGGAGGCGGCUUACUGGACGGUAACUGACGCUGAGGCUCGAAAGCGUGGGGAGCAAACAGGAUUAGAUACCCGAGUAGUC
rnacentral:rRNA from 1 species